CCUACGGUGUGCAGCAGUGAGGAAUAUUGGUCAAUGGACGAGAGCCUGAACCAGCCAAGUCGCGUGAGGGAGUACUGCCCUAUGGGUUGUAAACCUCUUUUGUCGGGGAGCAAAAGCCGGACGUGUCCGGCUGUGAGAGUACCCGAAGAAAAAGCAUCGGCUAACUCCGUGCCAGCAGCCGCGGUAAUACGGAGGAUGCGGGCGUUAUCCGGAUUUAUUGGGUGUAAGGGGGGCGCAGGCGGAUUUUUAAGUCCACGGUCAAAUCUUGGGGCUCAACCCCAUCCAGUCGUUGAAACUGGGGAUCUAGAGUGCGCGAGAGGUAUGCGGAAUGCGUGGUGUAGCGGUGAAAUGCAUAGAUAUCACGCAGAACCCCGAUUGCGAAGGCAGCAUACCGGUGCACAACUGACGCUCAGGCACGAAAGCGUGGGUAUCGAACAGGAUUAGAUACCCCUGUAGUC
rnacentral:rRNA from 1 species